rnacentral:rRNA from 1 species
GCGUGCAACCCGCCCACCAUGAAGUUGGAGUUGCUAGUAAUCGCGGAUCAGCAUGCCGCGGUGAAUACGUUCCCGGGCCUUGUACACACCGCCCGUCACACCAUGGGAGUUGGGAGCGCCCGAAGCCGGUGAGGUAACCGAGAGGAGCCAGCCGUCGAAGGUGAGACCAAUGACUGGGGUGAAGUCGUAACAAGGUAUC